CUGUCAAAGACUACUGAGCGCGCACUGCUCCAGUUCUUCCUUUCUUCCUUGCUCUGAUGCCUCCAGCUGACUGUAAGUUUCUUCAAUAAAAGAAUUGACUACACAAGUUUUAAGAUGAAGAUAAAAAAUAAAGGCUGUUGCUGUAUAAACCGAUUUAGCACUGUAAGUCUAACAAAUGUUAAAUCAUAUUUUUAACUUUCCUUAACACUAAUGUAACAGGAGUUGUACUGUUUAGAAUUUGUUCUUCAAAUAGGCUAACAGGAGUUUGUUGUGGUUUAACCCAGCAGGUGGCCCAGCACCGCAGUCAUUUGCUCACUUUUGAGAACGAUGGAUAUGUAUGCUUGUAUCUGAAGUUUUCUGCAAUGAAGGAAGGGCUCUGAUGAUGUCAAUAAAUGGCUUCUUCGUUUGCAAAUUGGCACCCACUCAGCACUGUAGAAAAACAUCCAAACCAGAUUCAGAAGUUGGAAGCUCAGCAAAGCACACACUAACCAAUGUUCUGUGGGACUCAUCUUUAUCAGUUGCUAUAGGGGUUUACCAGACUUCAUACCUGAUGUUUCACUCUACACUGCCAUAUUUUGGUGUGUAUGUUGGUAAGUAGGUUUCCCAAAACUGUUUCCAAUGGUCAGUUGAAGAAUGGUGACUGGAGAAGCAACCCACUGAAACAUUACACAGCCACGAUAUGCAAAAUCAGCCCCACAGCAUGCAAACCUAGAGCCAUCUGCCACAGAGCAAAAAUUACACAUGCUGUAGGAGUUCUUAUAACCUAAAACAAACUAGCACAGAAUAACAUGCACAUGCACACAUGCAUGUGCACACACACACA
rnacentral:lncRNA from 1 species